CAGUGCUUGCCCGUUGAAUGACAGAUUAUGCUAUUAGAUCACCUACACCUUUCGCUGCACAUUGUAUUCAAGUAAUUGCAGACUCUUCUGCUUGUGGCUGAUUCGGACAGUCAACCAGAUAUGGGCAUUAAGCUCCCUGAUUUCAAACAACUGAGAACUUCACGUCCCUAGCUCAGUCCAGAUGAGAGUCCAUCAAGCACCCCUUCCACACAAAUCUAGUUUUUCCUUUUACCGUCCGCAUUCUGCCGCACAGCAUGACUCCAGCUCGGCUCCACUGCGGCCUGUCACAGGCCCCGUUGCGUGGGGAAAAGCAGAGGGAAACACGUGUUAGGGCAAUGCCGACCCCGUCACCUGAGCAUGGCUUCCGCCUGAAGCUCCCCCCCCGCACAGCAGGUCGCCAUGCGCUGAAUCGCUCGGGGUGAGCUAGGCUCCCGCCCGCAGGCAGGCAGCGCCGGGUGAGGUGCAUUCGAGCCACGCUGGCACUCUGUCUAUCAUGUGGAUGCCACAGACGUGCUCACAGUCGCAGGUCGUUCUGAGGCAUCGCUAUAUAUACGGCCUGGCCGUCGACAUCAGCAGCGACAGAGAGCUCUGAUUUCGCUACACCGCAGGCAGUGGACCCUGCUGCCAUCAGAAGUGGCUCGGCGCGGGCAGGGAUAGGGGCUGCUUGGCUUUCACACAGAGAGUGGUGCGUACUGGACCCUGGAUACCACGAUGAGGGGUAACCCUGUCAUCAGGGGACUCUUCAAACGGUAAGGGUAUUAACAGCAAUAAUGGUACUAACGAAAAACACUUACACACAGAC
rnacentral:misc_RNA from 1 species